rnacentral:rRNA from 1 species
UACGGGGGGGGCAAGCGUUGUUCGGAAUUAUUGGGCGUAAAGAGCGUGUAGGCGGCUUUACAGGUCCGUUGUGAAAACUCGAGGCUCAACCUCGAGACGCCGGUGGAAACCGUAAAGCUAGAGUCCGGAAGAGGAGAGUGGAAUUCCUGGUGUAGCGGUGAAAUGCGCAGAUAUCAGGAGGAACACCCGUGGCGAAAGCGGCUCUCUGGGACGGUACUGACGCUGAGACGCGAAAGCGUGGGGAGCAAACAGG